rnacentral:rRNA from 1 species
GCCAGCAGCCAUUUUGCCCUGUAACUCACAACUGGCAACCCACUGAAGUUAAGCAGGUUUGAGCCUGGUGAGUACCUGGAUCGGAGACUCCUGGGAAAGCUAAGGUUGCUGCUAGAA